GAAAGUUUUAAGCCCUUUUAGAAACCUAAUCACCAGUGGAGGUGAUCUUGAGAAGGGGUGAGCAUCCCAAGAAUGGCCAUGAUUCAGAAUGAGCCAAUCCCGUGUGGGGGCUGUAGAGAAGCUUGAUCAGAGCAUGGUGUCCCUGGAUGGAUGGGCUAUGGAGGCUUUCCCUGCCUCUUUCUAGGCCCGCCUUUCUUCCUCCCAACUCUUGACUCUGCAGCUCUUGGGGUGAAGCCUUAUUCCUGAUGCUCCAGACGAUCACCAUCUGCUUCCUGGUCAUGCAUUACAGAGGACAGACUGUGAAAGGUGCUGGGGACUUACCCAAGAGCAGGCUGUGUGGUUCCUGGGAACCCUGCUGGGAACUCAGGCCUGGGAAAGCCAAAUGAUGUGGGGAGAUUGACAAGGACUCCUGUCUCCCCACCCCUAGGUGUCGCUUUCCUCGCUUGCUACGGCCUGGUCCUUCUGGUGCUUCUCUCACCUCUGACGCCCUUGACUGUAGUCACCCUGCUCCAGGCCUCCAAUGUGCCUGCUGUGGUGGUGGGGAGGGUGGGUACCAGGAGCAAGGGACAAGAUGUUGGGGGGGCAGGGUGGAGGGGAAGAGUGGAAGAUCAAAGUGUGGGGGUGUUGGACUUGGGGGAGCAUGGGAAGAGCUCAGGUGACAGAGCCAAAGGUCUCAACUCCUCCCCUAGCUUCUCCAGGCAGCCACCAACUACCACAAUGGGCACACAGGCCAGCUUUCAGCCAUCACAGUCUUCCUGCUGUUUGGGGGCUCCCUGGCCCGAAUCUUCACUUCCAUUCAGGAAACCGGAGAUCCCCUAAUGGCUGGGACCUUUGUGGUCUCCUCUCUCUGCAACGGCCUCAUCGCCGCCCAGCUGCUCUUCUACUGGAAUGCAAAGCCUCCCCACAAGCAGAAAAAGGCGCAGUAGAGCCAGCUACUGGAGUCAUUCCAUUUCCACUCAUUCACCCAACCUCAGGGUUCUCCCCAUCUGAGCCAGCCUGCUGGUGUGACUUACUCAUCCUCCAUUCCUCUGCACUUGCAGACUUUCUGAGCCAGGGUUUUCUUUUAGUGGAAACAAAUGGUUGAUGGAUCCAGAUCCUUAGAAAAGGAGAGGAUGGGGGUAGAGUCUCCCAAGCCAAAAUUUUGACAUUUGAGUGCUUUUGUAAGCCCUGUACAUGUACUAUUAACUCAGUC
rnacentral:sRNA from 1 species